rnacentral:lncRNA from 1 species
GGCGGCGCGGGGGUGGCGGGGCGCUCGGCUGGAGGGCGUGGGGGCGGGGGGCGGAGGCUCCGCGGAGACCGCCUCCUAGGCUCGCGCCCGCCCUUGGCGCGCUCUGGGGCGGCAGAGAGAGACGAGGCCGUUCCUGGCCCGCCUCUCCCAGACUGGGAUGCGCCGCUUGGUCGCCGCGUUGGGUCUUUAAUCUGAUCACGGUCGUGGGGCCGCACUGGGCAGGUGCCCGACGCAGACCAUCUCAUUGCGUCCCCUCCACAGCCCCACUUUGCAGACAGGAAAGCUGAGGCAGGAAAGGGGAAACACCCCAAGGCUGCAGAGCUGGUAGAGAGCCGAGGAGGGACUGGGGCCGGGGCCCUGCUCUUCUCCCCUCCUCAUCCCCUCCCUGCUCCCGGUCCAGGCCGCCGAAGGUCGGCCCCGCAGCUCAGCCUCGCUGAUCCCCCUCGCAGCAGUUUCCCUCCCGGGCGCUCUGCAUCUCCCCUCCCCCGGCUCCCGGUUUCCUUGUCAAAACUUCCUGCCUUGGCGAGGGCCCGAGUCCCCACCCCCUUCCUGCCCCCCGCCCCUCCGCGCCCCUCCCCGCCCUGCGAUCCACAGCGUUCGUCUCCCCGCCGCUCCCGCAGUCGGGCUGGGGCUCACCGCGGGGACCUCCGCCCUGUCCUCCGGGUCGACCCCCCAACCCAGGCCAACCGAGAGAUAGGGUCCCGAGGCAGGUGACUCAGCGCCUUGCACUACCGUGGACUCAUCCCGUAGGAACUUGGAGGCCAGCCCUGAGGAAUUCCUGCCCAAGGUCAGGAGGGCAGUUCUGGGCCGCCUUUUGCUUUGUAACGUUGGAAGUUCUGUCUGGACCCCACCUUCCAUCGUCUCGCCAGUGCCAUGUCUUGAGGGCCCUGGAAGGAGGGCCUAGUUUUGCCGUCUGGUGAGCUGAGGAGCAGCUGCAGCCUCCAGAUGUCUCUCCCUCUCCCCGAUUCCCUACAAAGUAAGGUGGAGGCUGCCUGGAGUCAGGAAGGAUUCCAGGGUUGACCGGUGCAUCCACUCCACACAUAUGUGCAGUUUCUGCUGGGCGCCAGGCCCCCUGGGUGUGUGUGUGGAGGGGCUGGUCUGUGCUGGGGACGCAGGGCUGAGGAAAGCAGAGAAGUGCCCUGACCCCAAGGAGCUCCAUUCCAGUGGGGAAGGCACCUUCAUGAAAACAUCGUAAUGACCGUGGCCUGGGAGCUGUGAGGGAUCCUCUGGGGGGCGGCUGGCCCACCAAUGGAGGCUCAGAGAGGAGUGAGAUUGGAGGAAGACCCCACCUGCUGGAGAAGGCAGACUCACAAACUGGCAGUCACAAGACGGGGUUAGUCCAUCAGACUUGAGGUGCUUCAGGGCUGGGAACUUCUGGAGGGCCUGGGUUAGUCCCACAUAUGCCCAGAGGAGGGACAUGGUGCCAAGCCUCUGGCUGGAAUUUGGGGACGUGUUGGUCUCUGUGGACUGAUCCAGCCUCAAGGCAGAACUGGGGGAGAAGAACAACCCAGGUCUGGGAGGGGUGCUGGGGGUGGGGAGUCCCUGUGGGGACUGUGCUAAGAGCCUGCAGGAGGGCCUAAGGGCAGAGAGGAUGGGUAAGGUCUGGAGUCGCUGAGGGGGCUUCCUGGAAGAGGCUAGCUUGAAGGAUGGGUAGGACCUGGGCAUUCUAGGGGUGGCUAUGUGGUGGGAGGUACGUGGGGGCAGUGGACUUCCA